GACAGAGGGUGCAAACGUUGUUCGGAAUUACUGGGCGUAAAGCGAGUGUAGGCGGUGUGGUAAGUCGGAUGUGAAAGCCCCGGGCUCAACCCGGGAAGUGCACUCGAUACUGCCACGCUAGAGUAUCGGAGAGGUUGGUGGAAUUCUUGGUGUAGAGGUGAAAUUCGUAGAUAUCGAGAGGAACACCGGUGGCGAAGGCGGCCAACUGGACGAAUACUGACGCUGAGACUCGAAAUCGUGGGGAGCAAACAGG
rnacentral:rRNA from 1 species